AGCCGCGAGCGCCCGAUCAAGGAGCACCUCCAUGGGCCAUGGCCAUAAUCCCAGGAAGAAGUUCAGACGUCUCUUCGACGCUCACUCUCAAGCUGGCGACAACACAGGGCAGCCCUCGUUUGCGGAACAUCUGGUCGUCGUCAACGCCCUCAGGUCUUUCAGCAACACCCCCUAUCCCUAUGGAGCAGCGCCCCCGUCCGACGAUGUCUUGCAGGUCCCGAGCAACGCCUGUGUCAAGUCCGAGGUCUCCAAGGGAAGUGCGAGCAUCUAGACCCCGGUCUCGAGUGGAGUUUCAAAUGAUUCAAAAAACAUAUGAAGUUUCUUUUUGGCAAGAACAAUAACACAUAAGGUGAGCAUCACAUGUUUGAAAAUGACACUGUCAAGAUCUCUCGGAAUCUAGGAAAAAGAGGAGACGUGAGCCGACUCUUUCGCCGUUCUUAUGAUUUUGGUACACAACUUGAUAGAGAUCAAGAUUAUUGGAUUAUAACGUGCUUGUCUAAUUUGCAGAGAAUAGAAGUUAUUUUUUUGUUAUUUCGUUUAUCUUGUCAUUGGGCAGAGGAUGAAAGAGGUUUUACAUGGAGCUAAAUUAUAUAUGUGGUUUCUGACCAAAAUUUUUUUUUUUAUAUAUGUGGGUCUAAGUAAUUCUAACAUGAAAUGAAAAUUACUUAUUUUUGCGUAGAAAGACUUAAAAUACAUGGACAAGAUUGGUCCAAAAUAUGAUCGACACCACGCACCAAUGGAUGAAACGUGAUCAUAAAUCAAUUCUCAACCCCGAGUUACCUAGGUGCUUCACAAACGAUACAUCCAUUCUCAUAAAUUUCUCAUAUAUAUUUUAUUUGUUUUGUUAUUCGUUAAGAUAUGUACAUGGAUCUUUAGAAUUCUAUCAUGAAUUGGGAAUUACUCAUUUUUCCGCAAAAAGACUCAACAUAAAUGGACAAGAUUGGUCCAGAAUAUGAUCGACGCCGCGCACCAACGGAGGAAACGUGAUCAUAAAUCGAUUCUCAACCCCGAGUUAUCCAGGUACUUCACAAAUGAUACAUCCAUUUUCAUAAAUUUCUCGUAUAUAUUUUAUUUGUUUUGUUAUUAGUUAAGAUAUGUACAUGGAUAUUAAGAAUUCUAUCGUGAAUUGGGAAUUACUCAUUUUUCAGCAGAAAGCCUCGAGCUUUGUGGACAAAAGUGAGUCGUGAUUUGGUCGAGUGGUAUCGAUGGAGGAAUUAUAAAAAGAGACCGAUUCUCAACUUCAAAUUCACCGGAAAGCCUCGAGCUUUAUGGACAAAAAUGAGUCAUGAUUUGGUCAAUCGGUACCGAGGGAGGAAAUAUAAAAAGAGACCGAUUCUCAACUUCAAAUUCACCAGGUACUUCACAAAUGAUAUACUUUUUCAUAAAUAUUGUCCAAAAAGUCUUAAACCGAUUACACGGCAGCCAAUUUAGUCCUAAAUCUUUUAAUUUUGUCAAUUCAGUUAUAAACCAUUUGACAAUUUGCCAAUUCAAUCACAAACAUUUCAA